UACGGAGGGAGCUAGCGUUGUUCGGAAUUACUGGGCGUAAAGCGCACGUAGGCGGCGAUUCAAGUCAGAGGUGAAAGCCCGGGGCUCAACCCCGGAACUGCCUUUGAAACUAGAUUGCUAGAAUCCUGGAGAGGUGAGUGGAAUUCCGAGUGUAGAGGUGAAAUUCGUAGAUAUUCGGAAGAACACCAGUGGCGAAGGCGACUCACUGGACAGGUAUUGACGCUGAGGUGCGAAAGCGAGGGGAGCAAACAGG
rnacentral:rRNA from 1 species